rnacentral:rRNA from 1 species
AAUCAACGCUGGCGGCGUGCCUCAGACAUGCAAGUCGAACGAUUAAAGCUCUCUUCGGAGAGUGCAUAGAGUGGCGCACGGGUGAGUAACACGUAAGUAAUCUACCCUCGAGUGGGGAAUAACAGUCGGAAACGACUGCUAAUACCGCAUAAUGCAGCGGCACCGCAAGGUGACAGUUGUUAAAGGAGCAAUCCGCUUGAGGAGGAGCUUGCGGCAGAUUAGCUAGUUGGCAAGGUAAUGGCUUACCAAGGCUACGAUCUGUAUCCGGUCUAAGAGGACGGUCGGACACACUGACACUGAAGAACGGGUCAGACUCCUACGGGAGGCAGCAGUCGGGAAUUUUGGGCAAUGGGCGAAAGCCUGACCCAGCAACGCCGCGUGAAGGAUGAAGUAUUUCGGUAUGUAAACUUCGAAAGAAUGGGAAGAAUAAAUGACGGUACCAUUUAUAAGCUCCGGCUAACUACGUGCCAGCCGCCGCGGUAAGAC